rnacentral:rRNA from 1 species
AUUGAACGCUGGCGGCAGGCCUAACACAUGCAAGUCGAGCGAGCGUCGGACGGGUGAGUAAUGUAUGGGGACUGCUCGACAGCGGGGGAUAACUACUGGAAACGGUAGCUAAUACCGCAUACCAUCGGAUAAACCCUAUGGGAUGAGCUAGUAGGUGGGGUAAUGGCUCACCUAGGCGACGAUCCCUAGCUGGUCUGGGAGGAUGAUCAGCAAAACUGGAACUGAGACACGUCCCAGACUCCUACGGAGGAGGCAGUGGGGAAUAUUGCACAAUGGGCGCAAGCCUGAUGCGGCAAUGCGGCGUGUAGAAGGAAGGCCCUAGGGUUUUAAAGUACUUUAAGUCGGGAGGCGUUACCGACAGAAAAAGCACCGGCUAACUACGUGCCAGCAGCCGCGGUAAUAC